rnacentral:misc_RNA from 1 species
CUAUGUUAAAGGGCCAAAAGUACACAUCACAUGUUCCGGUCUAAAAAGCCUUGAAUUCCAAGUCAAUUAUGCUUUCCAACAUUGACAAGAUUAAUUAUAAUUAAAAAUCUAAUAUCUAAUGUUUAGAAUUAAAUUCUUGCUACAUCUACAUCUUGGGUUUGAUUGGUUUCCAACGUUACAAAUGAAACCUUCUUACUUUUUGUGAACCUAAAAAUUAGGAUACAUUAAUCUGUACAGAAACAUCCUACGCUUGCACAGUUAAAUUAGGUAUGGCUCGGGUGACUCCUCCUCCAAGAAAACAUCUCUUGGUCUCAUCCCCAGGAGCACAAGUGCUGAACCCAUCAUUCUGUGGUUAACUUAAAUCAAAGAGAUGAGGAAAAGAAAUAAUAAUUAACUCAUUUCUUAGAGCUGCAAUGCUAAAUCUGGCUGUGCUGAAUCAACACGGCUAGAACUAGGAGAACCUGGAGACUGAAAUCUGACAUUCAGGUCAGGUGGGACUGAAUCUGAUUUCUGUUGCGGUGACAACCCUGAAUCUGGUUUUGGCUGUGGUGAUGAUCCUUGACAUGAAGGUCGGGGUUCGUAUCCAGAUAUUGGGGCUUCCUUUUUUUCGUUACCAGAAUUUGGUAGUGCACCACUGGAAUUUAUUGCAGAGGAAUUCUCGGAAAGCUUUGGAUUUUUUAAGUUCACGCUGUUUUCUGUUGAUGGAUGGACAAAGUUAGCAUUAGUAGCGGAGACUCUGUCAGUCAGAGAUGGCCGAAAGUUAAUCCCAGCAGGCCUGGCAGCCCCAACUAGUUUUCCCAUCUGGGCUGGAAGACUAAACCUGUGGGUGCCAUUGAAUCCAUUCAUGCCAGGGUGAAAUUCAUGGCUCUGAUGAAUCUGAAAUGGAGGCCUUGGCCUGCUCAUACUUGUAUUGCUGUUGAGGAUGUUAAAACGCCCGUGAGAGUUAAAUACGUCAACUGCUGCCUCCGCGCAAGGUUCAGAUUUACUAGCAGCUGCAUGGAGUGUAGAUGUUGAGGCAGAUGAUGAAAGAUCAUUGGUUAGUUGUGGUGCCCCUGAAGCCGAGUGAAUUUGAGGUACCUCAUUCUUGCUCACAUUCAUUUCAGGUUUUUCUGACAGUUUUUCUCUCAAUUCAACACUGCAAGAUGUGAUAACAGCACAUGAAUCUUUGGGAAGUCUGCGAAGCCGUGAUGGUGAUGGCAGGCCUUGAGGGUUUGAAGAAAGAAGCAAUGCCCUCUGUGGUGGGAUGUCAUUUUCCCCAACCCAUCCAGGGCCAAACAUAACUCCAGAUGGCAAAGACCUCUCAAUUUUUUUCGAAGCAAUUUUCCAUGCAAUGGUGCCAAUAUUUGCGGCAAAUCGAGCUAAGCUCCUUGCAUAACCAUGCUCUGACAGAAGCCCUACCUGAUGCACGUGAAGCUACAUCAAUCAACUAACCAGAGGAAGGACCAGCAAACAUGCCUAAUAAAAUUGGACCAUGGAAAAGUACAGAAGCACAUGGUUCAACAAUGAUAUUCAAAAGUAUCAAGUAGAAGAAUGGAUAUCAUUGUGAUACAUACAGCCAUUAGCUGCUUCCUCUCUGCAUCAAAAGUACCAAACACAGAUGGUUCCCGUCCACCAGCCGAAAAUUGGUUGUACGUGUUACGCCUGUUCUCGUCAAGUACAAAUUGUCUUUUCCCAUAUUUCAUUGAAUUACCUUUAAACAUAGAGCCUUCAUCAUUCUUCUCAAAUUUGUUGUCAGUCAACCAAUAAGCAUCAUUGUGAGAACCAUGAGAUCGUCCUGAUGAAUCUGCCAAGCUAGACUUGUCUAAAACAUAAGGUCCUUUUCUCAGAUCAUUAUUGGACCAGACAGUGCUCUCUCCCCCAGUCAGAAGAGUUCCACCAUCCAAGGCAACCGCUGAACCAGCAUGCUCCAAUAAAGGCCUGCCCACUGGUUUUUUAAAAUUCUUGGUUGGUGGUCUACCUCUCCUCACUAUUUUAGGUUCUGGUUCAUUAUCAUCACUAUCUUGCCUUAAAUUUUCAAAAUUCUUUUUAGCCAGCUCUUGUAUAGAUCUUGCCUAACAACAACAACAGAAAUUCAAAUAACAUUUCCAAAUGGUUGAGCAAUGGGAAAUUUAGAGCUAAGAGGUUGAUUAUACCUGUCUAAAAUAUAUGGUAUCUGGGGCAUUAUACUGCAUCGCAUUUGAACAGAUUAAGAAAAUAUCUUUCUGCAAGACGAUGACAUUAACUUCGACGUCACUCUCCAAAAAACAAAGAAAAUGUAAAUGAAUUUCAAGAUAUUAUUAGAUCAGGAUAAUGGCCUAAUUCAGCUUCUGAGUACAUCCUUAAUUGCUUUACAGAUAUGAAGCUGAGAACAUUUCAAGAAAUGCCAAUUCAAUAGCAAGUAGAACAAGAGUUUUCAUCAGGAUCUGUAGCAAUUAUUAUAAUUCAACUCCCUGGCCAUCAAACCAAUAGCAUGGAGACACUGAACUAGUGAUAACUAUUUCAUAAAAUUGGGCAGCUAUAAGCCUUGAAUUUAUUAGUAUAUCUAGGGUAAAUUAAGGAAUAAAAAGUUUAAGCAUUAACAAUGGCCCUACAAAAAUAUUCUGGAAAACAAUCAGAGCAAUCAGAGUAAAAUCUGUAACGAGGACAUUCAUAAAUCUAAAUCAUCACUCUAGACACACUUAUCCAUGAAUAUCAAGUCAAGGAGUAGAAAAUAAUGGUAUAAACAGAGCAGACAAUUGGGGCUUUCUUAGCAUAUUUGUUGAUUCAUAGCAGUUGCACACAUUCUGUUUCAUGUUGACAUGAGGACUCACUCAUACCACAAAGUAAGGAAGCAGCAGAUGGAUAAAAUUCUGCAUGUGUUGAUGUGAAGGUUUAUUUCCCAGGCCAUUUUGUAGCAAAAUUUGAGAGUUUGAUGGCACUCCACAUCACAGAUAGGCCCUAUAAAGUACAUUGAUUAUCUAAGCACAUGUUAAUGACAGAAAUUGAUAGGUGCAUAACCUCUACUGGUUGGCCUCCACAGCUCAACUAAGCCCUGUCAAUAAUCACAACAAUAUUAAGAUGUUUUCUAUGCUGGACAACUGUAGUUCAACCCACAAAUGCUCUCAGACACAGUAACAAUAAUUACAUUUCCCACAACACUACAUUAUAGUCUCAAGUGGAUCAAAAAGGUUGUGAUAUUAAAAGUGGAUAUGCCAUCAAUUGGCAAAUUAAAAGAAGAUUUGCCAUUAUUAGAAGUACACCAACCAAACUCUGCUGGAUUCAUACAGGAAACCUCCUCUGCUUUGUUCAAUUUCAACAACCCAUCAGUUAUAUAAUAGGAGACAUAUUAAAAUCAUAUUCCUACUUUGAAACAGUUUCCCAAUGUACGCAAAUUUUAUGUGGUAUUAAUUCUUAGCUUGGCACAAUCAGAUAGUACAAAUUGCCACUGGAUUUCCCAUAGGCACUAGCUCAGCUAAGUGAAUAAGUUCUUUCAGCAUAAAAACUUAUAAUCAACCGACAAUUUAAGUUUUAAAAGGAUUGAUAGUAUCAUAAAACAAGUCUAAACCUCUCAAUGAAUAGAAAAUAACUGGGGUAAGUUGGUGAAUGCUAAUCUGGAAAUAUAAUGCCUCAAUCAGUACAAUACUCUUUACAGAACUGUGUGGAUUAUGCAAAAUUACAAGCAGGCAACUUAAGGUGAAACAAAAAGUUCCCUGCAUAAACCAAGCAACAGACAACAAACCUUCAAUCCUAGGAACAAGUACUAAUUUGAUACGGUGCCCAUAGAGACCUAAAAGCUCCAUGGACCCAAAUGUUAAAUCUGUAGUUAUUUGAUCUGUCCAGUUGAUCUUGCCAUCAAUCUAAAUAAACAAUUAGUGGCCACUUUUAGCUUAUCAAUCAAACAAAAUGAAGCAGGAUUACAACCACUUAAGUAAAGAGGGAACAAAGUAUUUGACAUGCAACAAUAGAUCACAAGGUAUACUACAACAAUAAAUGCCAAGUUUGGAUUCUGGAAAUGUGAUCUAGUAUCCAUUCCACUCAGACGGCUGGCAACACAUAACAACUUUAUUGAAAAAAAAAUUCCAAAUAUAAGCAUCUAAAGCAACUAAACAAAACUAACAAAAGCAAAUCCCGAUGCUUAUAAAGAGAUAAUCACAAACUCCUAUGCCAACCUCAAAUUGUUCCAAGCUGGUAUAAACCCCACUAGAAAGUUUCUUCCUGACAGUCCCAAAAUCCAUGGGAUGCUCAAUGACUUCAUGGUAAUCUGGAAGCUCAUUUGGGUCUACUGGUUCAGAAAAAACACCAUACGUGUCCUUCUUUUGAAGCCUAUCAAGGAUGAACAGUAAUAGCUUUUUAUCAGGUACAGGAGUUGAGGGUCCCGAAUCUUGUACAUUAUUUGUGGGGUUUGCGCCAGCAACAGGCUUCCCUCCCUUUUCACUGAGACCAAACCCAGAUCCACCACCGAUCGCAUUGAUUUUCCGCCUUUUGUGAUACGAAGCCUUUGCUUUAUCCUCCUCGCCUUUCGAUUCUGACCCAUUAGAGUUAAGAGAAGCCGAAUCAGGCUCCGAUUUUUGGGAUGAAGGCAACUUAAGGACGAGCUUAAGCUUCUUCUCUCGGCGCUUCCCAUUCAAUUCAACGGCGUCGUCGUCGUCAUCGUCGUGUUCCGGAGAAGAGGGAGUAGGGUUGCGGCGGGUGGAUCGACGAAGAGGAGUAGGAGUGGCAGAAUUGUAAUUAUGGGAAGAAUGAACGGCUGAAUUAUUGGAAUUUGAAUUAGAAAGGUUUCGAUUUUUAAUUUGCUUGAGUUGUUGAUGUUCUUGCUGCUGCUGCUGCUGUUGUUG